rnacentral:rRNA from 1 species
AGUGAACGCUGGCGGUAGGCCUAACACAUGCAAGUCGAACGGAAGCACAGGAAGAGUGCUCCCCUACGGUUGGCGAGUGGCGGACGGGUGAGGCAUACAUCGGCUACCUAUAUGUCGGGGGUGACAACGGAGGGAAACUUACAAUACUGCCUAAUACAUUCUACGGGAGAAAGCAGUGGAUAUUCGGAGCUUGCGUGUUAGAAAUAGCCGAUGUCGGAUUAGCUUGUUGGCUGGGUAAAGGCCCACCAAGGCGACGAUACGUAGCUGGUCUGAGAGGAUGAUCGGCCACACUGGAACUGAGACACGGUCCAGACUCCUACGGGAGGCAGCAGUAGGGAAUAUUGCGCAAUGGGCGCAAGCCUGAUCGAGCCAUACCGCGUGAGUGAUGAAGGCCUUCGGAUUGUAAAGCCCUUUUGUUAGGAAAGAAAAGCAGCGGGUUUAUACCCCGCUGUUCUGACGGUACCCAAAGAGAAAGCACCGGCUAACUUCGUG